rnacentral:rRNA from 1 species
GACGAACGCUGGCGGCGUGCCUAAUACAUGCAAGUCGAACGCAGUGGGGACGGGUGAGUAACACGUGGGUAACCUCCCAUCAGAGGGGAUAACACUUGGAAAAAGGUGCUAAACGGAAAAGGAUGGAUGGCCCCCCGGUGCAUUAGCUAUUUGGUGAGGUAACGGCUCACCAAGGCCACGAUGCAUAGCCGACCUGAGAGGGUGAUCGGCCACACUGGGACUGAGACACGGCCCAGACUCCUACGGGAGGCAGCAGUAGGGAAUCUUCGGCAAUGGACGAAAGUCUGACCGAGCAACGCCGCGUGAGUGAAGAAGGUUUUCGGAUCGUAAAACUCUGUUGUUAGAGAAGCGGUAUCUAACCAGAAAGCCACGGCUAACUACGUGCCAGCAGCCGCGGUAAUUC